AUUGAACGCUGGCGGAAUGCUUUACACAUGCAAGUCGAACGGCAGCACGGACUUCGGUCUGGUGGCGAGUGGCGAACGGGUGAGUAAUGUAUCGGAACGUGCCCAGUCGUGGGGGAUAACGUAGUGAAAAUUACGCUAAUACCGCAUACGAUCUAUGGAUGAAAGCGGGGGAUCGCAAGACCUCGCGCGAUUGGAGCGGCCGAUAUCCGAUUAGGUAGUUGGUGGGGUAAAGGCCCACCAAGCCAACGAUCUGUAGCUGGUCUGAGAGGACGACCGGGCACACUGGAACUGAGACACGGUCCGGACUCCUACGGGAGGCAGCAGUGGGGAAUGUUGGACAAUGGGCGAAAGCCUGUUCCAGCCAUUCCGCGUGCAGGAUGAAGGCCCUCGGGUUGUAAACUGCUUUUGUACAGAACGAAAAGGUUUCUACUAAUACUAGGAGCUCAUGACGGUACUGUAAGAAUAAGCACCGGCUAACUACGUGCCAGCCGCCACAGUAA
rnacentral:rRNA from 1 species